rnacentral:rRNA from 1 species
UACGGGGGGGAGCAAGCGUUGUUCGGAUUUACUGGGCGUAAAGGGCGCGUAGGCGGUCGUGACAAGUCACUUGUGAAAUCUCCGGGCUUAACUCGGAACGGUCAAGUGAUACUGUCGGACUAGAGUACAGAAGGGGCAACUGGAAUUCCCGGUGUAGAGGUGAAAUUCGUAGAUAUCGGGAGGAACACCAGCGGCGAAGGCGGCGACCUGGGUGGAGUACUGACGCUGAGGAGCGAAAGCGUGGGGAGCAAACAGG